UACGUAGGGGGCUAGCGUUGUCCGGAAUCAUUGGGCGUAAAGAGCGUGUAGGCGGUCCGGUAAGUCCGCUGUGAAAGUCCAGGGCUCAACCCUGGGAUGCGGAUGGAUACUGUCGAGCUCGAGUCCGGAAGAGGCGAGUGGAAUUCCUGGUGUAGCGGUGAAAUGCGCAGAUAUCAGGAGGAACACCAAUGGCGAAGGCAGCUCGCUGGGACGUGACUGACGCUGAGACGCGAAAGCGUGGGGAGCAAACAGG
rnacentral:rRNA from 1 species